GCGUAAAGCGCACGCAGGCGGUCUGUCAAGUCGGAUGUGAAAUCCCCGGGCUCAACCUGGGAACUGCAUUCGAAACUGGCAGGCUUGAGUCUUGUAGAGGGGGGUAGAAUUCCAGGUGUAGCGGUGAAAUGCGUAGAGAUCUGGAGGAAUACCGGUGGCGAAGGCGGCCCCCUGGACAAAGACUGACGCUCAGGUGCGAAAGCGUGGGGAGCAAACAGGAUUAGAUACCCUGGUAGUCCACGCCGUAAACGAUGUCUACUUGGAGGUUGUGCCCUUGAGGCGUGGCUUCCGGAGCUAACGCGUUAAGUAGACCGCCUGGGGAGUACGGCCGCAAGGUUAAAACUCAAAUGAAUUGACGGGGGCCCGCACAAGCGGUGGAGCAUGUGGUUUAAUUCGAUGCAACGCGAAGAACCUUACCUGGUCUUGACAUCCACGGAAGUUUUCAGAGAU
rnacentral:rRNA from 1 species